CACGUAGUUAGCCGGCGCUUUUUCUGCAGGUACCGUCACUUACGCUUCUUCCCUGCUAAAAGAGGUUUACAACCCGAAGGCCGUCAUCCCUCACGCGGCGUUGCUGCAUCAGGCUUCCGCCCAUUGUGCAAUAUUCCCCACUGCUGCCUCCCGUAGGAGUCUGGGCCGUGUCUCAGUCCCAGUGUGGCCGGUCACCCUCUCAGGCCGGCUACCCGUCGACGCCUUGGUGAGCCAUUACCUCACCAACAAGCUGAUAGGCCGCGAGCCCAUCCCAGACCGAAAAACUCUUUCCAAACACGACCAUGCGAUCACGUCUCAUAUCCAGUAUUAGACGCCGUUUCCAGCGCUUAUCCCAGAGUCCAGGGCAGGUUGCUCACGUGUUACUCACCCGUUCGCCACUGAUCCACCAAGCAAGCUUGGCUUCACCGUUCGACUUGCAUGUGUUAAGCACGCCGCCAGCGUUCAUCCUGAGCCAGGAUCAAACUC
rnacentral:rRNA from 1 species